rnacentral:lncRNA from 1 species
CGGGCUUGGGUUCUGGCUUUGGCAUCGGCUCCGGCUUGGGUUCCGGCUUGGGCUCUGGCUUUGGCAUGGGUUCAGGCUUAGGCAUAGGUUUGGGCUCCGGCUUUGGCAUGGGUUCAGGCUUAGGCAUAGGUGUGGGCUCCGGCUUCGGCAUGGGUUCAGGUUUAGGCAUAGGCUUGGGCUCCGGGUACGGCGUGGGCUUGGGCUCUGGCUCGGGGAGCUUCUCGGCGAGGCCCCGGCCAGCAGCGGCCGCGAGGCUGAAGCCGGAGGCCGCGAGCAGCCCGACGAGGAGCACGGCAAGGAGGCUGUGCCUCGCCAUUGCUGCUUUCUCGCAGCUGUUGCUGCACUUGUGCUUCACCGCUUCCGAACCUCUCAACGGGCGAUGGAUAGAUAAAGUGGAUGUGGUGUGUGGUUCCUCUGAAUGGUGGUGUGGAGAACCGGAGAUGGCAUAUGUCCCGGCUUUAUAGCGCUGAGCAGCCAAGCAGGCCCAGACGCGUGUGCCACACUCCCGGCGCCGGUGGGUCUGCUUGUGGAUCAGGUUACCCCAACCUUUUCAGUUUUCAUCUGCCGUCUGCCGUCUGCACCUUCCUUCCUUCCGACUGCAAAGCUAGCUAGGUAAGAUGCCCGAGGUACGGCUGGCGGUGGCCGGUGGCCCGUCGCCGUCGCGCCUUGAAACCCAUGUCGGAUCUUCAUUUCUCCGUUGCGCGUAGCAUCCGACGACGGCUGAUGGGUGCGGGUCAAGUCCGAGGACGACUGUUUCUAGCAGCUAGCAGCAGCAGCAGAUAGCCGGCAGCCGGUGGGGCACUGAAGGUUAAAACCCCAGCCUGACGGCAUCAUCAUCAACUCUUUUAUGCGCCGUACUGUUCACGUGGUUGAUUACAAAGAGAAGGUACGAAAAAGUAAGCACUAGUUGUGGUCGCCAGGCAGACACGAGCCCGUGCGUGCGUGCGUGCGUGUGCGUCCGUCCUGAACGCGUUUGCGCUGCCGGCUCGAUGGCCUGCUGCCGUUUCACUGUUCAUGCAUGUCCGGUCGAUCGAUCCGUCCGUCGGCGAUUCUGCGUACGGCGCGGUGUGCCAUCGACGGCAGCCGCGCCCACUGACCCGCUGUAUCUAUCGAGCCAUCGGCAUUGUUCACGGAUGGGAUCUGGCGAACGAUCGGCCUUGCUUUGCUUGGUGUGGUUUGCGGUGUUGAUUACUUGAUUGAUUGUCUUUUCUUUGUGGGAUACACUUCCGAUGCUUCUUAUCAUAAUCCAUCGCGGCAGUACAAAUAAAGCCAGAGAUAAUAAAAAUUACAACCAGGUCUAUUGAUCGCCUAACUACGAAUGCAAGCAAGGGAGCGAGCUGAGGGCAUGACGACGUCAUUGCCCCUCCAUCAUCCGGGCCGGGUAGAACUUUAUUGUAGUAGACAAAAGACAAUCAAAAAGUAUAGCACCGACCGAAUUUCAUGAGAUUCAGCGAAAAUACCUCCACAUGUCCUCCAACAAUGCUAGACGUAUCGUUGGUAUUAGGAUAAAACGUAAGAAAAUAUUUCUAUUGAACCACAUCACCGCCGUCACAAAGCCCCAACCAAGACACUUUUUUUUUGCGAGAAACCAACCANNNNNNNNNNNNNNNNNNNNNNNNNNNNNNNNNNNNNNNNNNNNNNNNNNNNNNNNNNNNNNNNNNNNNNNNNNNNNNNNNNNNNNNNNNNNNNNNNNNNAGGGGCCAGCACCGCCUGCACCCGCCGGAGCACCGCCGCUAGCCCAACGCCCGCCACCGCCUACCGCNCACCGCUCGCCGAGGCCUGCCCCCUCGCGCCCGAUCGCGAUCGCCACAAGCCACCGCCGUCAACCACCUAGAUCCACCGCUCGCGGAGGAAGGGGAGCCGGGAGAGGGAGUCCCCCGCCGCCGCCGUCUGCCACACGUGUUUUACCGGCGGCGUCACCCGGAGGCGGCGAGGAGGGGAGGAUGAGAGAGCGGCGGCGGCGCCUAGGGCUUGGGAGCCCCCGAGUCGCCCAGGACGGGGGCGACGCGAGGGGUCUUCCCGUUACUUGUGUCAUGUGAGUUGGACAGUGGAACAAGAAACGGUGAGUUUCUGUAGUACGAUAAUUUUGAGGAUUGGAGUGUAAAGUAAAUCGGUUUCAAAUACUCUGCUGCUCAUAAAUUUCCGAGAGAUAAACACGAUCUGUUGCUCAAGUGUUAAUUCUAGUCUUGUUUGCUCACAAGUCGAUGGUUUUUUCUACUGUCUAUAUUUAUUAGAUAGAAAAACAAGGAGAAGUCAAAUAUAAACCAUAUCGCAUUUGAAAACUUGGUCCUGGACAUGAUCAUUUGAACUGGCGGUUAUCGCAUUUGCAAGUGCCUACAUUCUAUUUCUUUUUGCAAAAUUAGCUUAUCUUGCUGAUUUUUCUACAAACUUCUAUAUAUUCUAGGACAAUGUGAGAUAGUGAAAAUGCUGCUUUCAACUGGAAUUGAUGUUGAUCAUCUCGAUUCUGAGUACGGGACCGCAUUGCAUGCUGCCGCUACUAAUGGUCAAGAUGGCUCAAUGAGUAUUUUGUUGCAGCAUCACGCAGAUGUAAGUCGCCACUUUCUUCGUUCUCUUCUUGGCUGUGCGAAACUAAAUUCGGACUUGUGAAGGCUCUAAUUAAGCGACUGUAUCUCCAGUUCAUAACUAAAUUCGGACUUGUGAAGGCUCUAAUUAAACGGAAAUACUGGGGUCUAUUAGUACUUGGGCUCAAUCUGAACCAAAAGAGUUUAUGUUGGCACAAAGCAAAACAUAUAUACAACAUUUGUCGUUUGACCAUAAGUAAUUCUCCUGAAGUGAAACAUGUUCAUUUUCUCAUAAGUAUUCUAAAUGUUUGUCUGAUUUUAUAAUUAAAUUAAAAAAGUGUUUGCUUAUGUGCAUUGAGAAAUGCAAAUAUGUGUAACACACAAUGCGCUUGUUUUAUUUCCCCAUAUAUUACUCCAUUUUUUACAAGUGAAUAAAUCGAUGUUUCUACUUUCCACAGCCUAAUAAGGUUUUCCGCCUUCAAAGUACCCCGUUAAGUAUGGCCAUAAUUUCUGAAUCGCUGGAAUGUGUGAAGCUACUCGUUAAGGUCAGCAAUCUUUCUCGUUCAUGGAGCUUCCUUUAGUGUAGUCUAUAGACGCAGCUUCAUUUCUCCGUGCAUACAGUUUCUGCAGUUGACAUCUCAAGCACUUGCUCAAAUGAAACUAAAAUUUAUUUACACAGGCUGGCGCUGAUGUGAAUAAAAUUGACUAUACUGGUGUUACUUACUUGAUGGUAGCAGCAACCAAUGGCUUAUCUGAUAUCAUGAAGUGCUUACUGGAUGCUGGGGCUGACCCAGAUGUUGAUGAUGGAGUGAGUCACUGAGUCUUACAUUGUUUUCUCUCCCUCUGCCUUCAUGAUCUACUUUUCAUACGUAUUCUCUUUUCGUAGUUGGCUGAAUGGUUGUGCCUCUGUGGAACAUGUUAGGAUCAAUAGGCUCUAGAGAGAUUGGGAUAAAUGUGCUCAGUCACUUCUUUUACAUCAACUGUACCCAUGCUGCUGGGAAUAUUUUAUUCAUGCAUGAUCAAACACAUUGUUUUAGUAAAUCAUAUCUGUUACUAAGCGAUACAUGGUCUACAGAGAACAUGGAAAAAGUAUUCCGACCAACAUGUUUACUGUGUAGUAUCAAUGGAGCAAAUCACCAUCGUAACAUUUUGCACCGCCUUGGUCAGCAUAUAUCUGCUGCAGUUCUUCCCAGCUGUUGAACUUACUAGUUGCUGCCCACGGAAGACGUUUUGAGUAGGAAUUCUUAGUAAAUCACCAUCCUGUACAAUUAUUUCUUUGCGGAGGCAGCGGAGUACCUUGCAGAGCUUUCAUGAAUUUGUUUAUUGUCAAUCGAGAAAUUCUCCAGUUUCUUCAUUGCCUGGUCAAAUAGACACAAGAUGCUAAUUUUUUCAAAGACUUACUCUUCUAUGUAUGUUGUUGUGUCGAUGGCACAUUCUUUCUCUAUUCUGUUUCGACAAAGGUGCAAUAUAAAAAACAUAUUAGUCUGGGAUUUGGAUUAAUAUUUUUACAGGAUUUAACCUUAGCUUUAUUUUCCGAAUUUAGUGGAGAAGUAUGGACAAGACUAUUCCAUUAUUUGUCCCUGAGCCUUGAUUUUCUCAAAGCCCAUCUAGUUAUGUGGUUGAUAUUGUGGACUUCCCAUAGUAACUAUCAAUGUUGAAAUGCUUUGCUAGCAAUGAUAAUCGAACAUGAAAUCAAUCAUCUCAUUUACUCCUGCAGUUUGGUACAACUCCAAUCGAAAUUGCCGCCCUCCGAGGCAGAUGGGAUAUGGUUGAGAUGUUAUUUCCUUUAACUUCUCCCAUUUCAACAUUGCCGGAUUGGAGUGUUGAUGGAAUUAUUUCUCAUGUGCAAUCUUUUGGUUUGAAGCCGAGGGUAUGUAGUUCCAUUUACAGUUCCAUAGUAUUAUGUAGCAUGGCUAGUAGUCUUCCAUUCUUCUUGUUGUGCUCCUGCAGUUAUGAUUUCUAUUGAUAUUUAUAAUAACAGAAAAAUGUUAUGCAUAAGCGCCCCAUAUUUGAGAAUGUUUUAAUGUCAUUGUUAGGGUCAACUAAGAUUCUAAAUGAAGCUUUCUUUUCUGUGCUUCUGUUGUAUAUAUGCCUUGACCAAAAAUACUUUUUGAUCAGGAUAUACAUCUAUGUGAAAUGAAAAGAGCUGAACUAAAUUUACAAGCUGCUGAGGCUUUUAAGAGAAAGGAAUAUACGAUAGCAGGAGAGCUAUAUACUUGUGUAAGUCACUGAGCCUAGAUGAUUACGAUAGUUACAGUGUCAAAUUAAUCAUGUGCUUGUCAUUCUUAUCUAGGAAGACACUUCACAUUUCGAAAACGCCUAAAAAGUUAAACCCCUUUCUGACUGUUCAGUGUCCUAAUCUAACUGUUUAAGCUGCAGCUAGACUAGAACCACAGUGUCUGAAACAAAGGCAGAUUUGCGUGGCACUAGAGCUGCAUGCUACUAUAGCAGUUGUUUUGCACUGUUUGUCCUCAAAAUACAGUCUGCAUUGUGCUCGCAGUUGCUAUUAUCAUCCAGUUACAUUAGCAGCUGCACCUGAUCUCUUUCUUUAGUACUCCCUCCGUUCGAAAAUAGUUGUCAUGGUUUUAGUUCAAAUUUGAACUCUAACCACGACAAGUAUUUUGGAGCAGAGGGAGUAUAUGUUCUAAUCUUCAUGCAUGAGCCCUUAUUCAAAUGUCCAGUCAGUCAGUAUAGCUAGUGACUAGAGAUAAUUUUUUGGGCACUAGUACAAAAUUUUAGCUUCACGCAAAAUGGUAACAAAAUAGCAUGUAUGUAGUUUUGUGAUCUUCCAGCAACUUGGAAUCUCACACACACACACACACANAAUGCUAUACGCACACAUACAUAUAUAUAUAUAUGUAUGUGUGCGUAUAGCAUUUCCUUAUUAAAACUAACUCAAUGGAAGGUGGCCCUCCGCAGAUUAGUUACCGACAUGAAAAAACUGCUUCGGAGUUGAAUUGCUUAUGUUUUUAGUUAGAUGAACUGUGUGCACAUCCAAAGGUAUUUUGAAUUCCAAAGUUAUCUAUAUUUAUUUCAUAAAAAAUCAGCAUCAUUUUCCAUGUAUCUUUCGUAAAAUUCUGUCAAAAAUCUUAUAUUUGAUUUCAUAAAAAUGAACGGUUUCUCCGUGUCUCGAUCUGGAUUAUCAGAAAUGUUGGCGGGGACGAUGAAAAUGCUGUUACUGUGUUAUGUCAACUACCUUGUAACAAAAUCUGCAUGUGAUUGGUCUAUUGUAGGCAAUGAGUUUUCAGCCCAGUUCAGAAGAUCUUGCAACCCUCCUAGCAAAUAGAAGUUUCUGUAUGUUGCACGCGGGAAUAGGAAAAGAUGCUCUCUCCGAUGCGGCUAAGUGCACGGUGCUACGACGUUUUUGGCCCAGAGGUUACUAUCUACUAGGAGCAGCCUUCAUGUUACUAGAGGUAAAAAGAAAGAAAAAAUCGUUACGGCCAUUCUUUCGUGACCAUGAUCAAAUUGAUCAUCUUCUGGUGUCUACUCACAGGACUAUGGAAAAGCAGCUCUGACUUUUGCAACUGGCUUGAAACUGGACCCUACCGAUGCCGAUAUUGCAAAUGCUUUAAGGUAAUUGUUUGUUCCAUGUCUUCAUGUUUGCGAGGAAUCUUGUGCAGUGCCACCUGCUUGAUUGGUCCCAUAAAUAUAUUAACUAUUUCUUAUAUACUCCCUGUGUUGCUAAAUAUUAGACAUUUUGACAGUUCAAUUUGAACUAGAACUGUAGCUCUGGUUCUCAAAAACAAAGGAAAGAGAGCACCUUGUCAUGUUGCCCUGUGCAUGCCUCUGCUCCGAUCAAUCUCUGGUAAAAGGAGCCAUAUAGAAGUAUGCUUAUACCAAAAAUAUUUUUCGUCGCAGGGAAGCCCGAGCGGCGGCGAGGAAUCCUCCUCGCACCGGGGGGCUGGGGCGCCUUAACCCAUUUGGAAUCAGACGCUCCUGGAGAGACUGAGGCUCUGUUUCGUUGCUAUCUCCAGUCCAGGGUAUGCUUGCCUGUUAUCCUCUUUUCCUAUGUCCAGUCCAGGGUAUGCAUGCCCCGUUAUUAUUCUCUGGAAAGAUUGAGACUCUGUUUCGUUGCUGAAGACUCUGUUUAGUGUUGAACCGUCCAAGACUGCCAAUCUCGUAUGCUAUGUUGUAAGACGUCAUGGGGCACUGAUGGUGUCAACAUGGAUAUAUGUACAUUGUGGUUAUAAACCGUCUCCGUGAACCGUUGUGGUUAUAUAUCGUGUUCGUGAACCCCUGUGAAAUGCGCUUGUCUAUAAUUCCAUUCUUAGAAAGGAAAUGAACAAGUCUUCAUCCACAUUAGUCAAGGUGGAGCUUAAGGCCCUGUUCGGAUUCUCUCCUUCCACAACUGCAGCUCCUUGAGCGGAGGGAACGGUAGCACAAUUUCAGGGAACUGCUCAAACCAAGCUCCUCGCGCGGAGCAGAGUUAUGAGAUUGGAGAGGUUCCGAACAUGCUUUAGGUAGUACAAUACUGGUUAGAGAAAAAGGAUAGCAGACAAAAAAAAAUUGUAGCCUUCUAGGAAGGGGGUCGUAUGGAAAGGGGGAAAUAAUCUGUGUGGAUAACUGGAUUUUGUAUGGGUAUGGCGUUGGGCAUGCUGUAGAAGUCAGUAGACACAUUAGAAUCCUGCCGAGGAUGAAAUACACUGCUUACUGAGGAUAAAGAGAGCACAUCCCUCUUUUCUUGGGGGAAUUUGGCACAUCUCUCUUUUUUUAGUGGAAUUUGGCACAACUCUUGCCAUCACCUUUUGCUGGGUGGUGAAUUUAACUAGAAACCGCACAUAUUGUCAUUCAUGUAAAUGAAUAAGAUCAUGUGUACAUACACGAAAGAACAACCGAGUCAUGUGCACAGAUGAACGCAUACCAGCACGCAAAUGAUAAUUACAAAGUAGUAAUAAUCAUCAUGGGUGCAUGGAACAAGAGAAACUAAAAAGGGAUGGUGGAAUACAAGGAAUGCAAAAAAGAUGCAUCAUCACUAUCUCGCUAGCCGGAUACUAUGCCACUUAUUCUGGAAAUAGCACAUCGUGGCUCCGGACGGGGUCGAUCUCCUCCUCCUUCGGCUGUCAUAUGUGAGCAUCACAUCAAUUGUCAGUCAUCGGCGGCUUGCCCUUCGGAGGCGGCUCGGGCUUGGGUUCGGGUUCAGGCUUGGGCUCUGGCUUAGGCAUGGGUUGAGGCUUGGGCUCUGGUUUUGGCAUUGGGUAAGGCUUGGGCUCUGGCUUUGGCAUCGGCUCGGGCUUAGGCUCCGGCUUUGGCAUCGGCUCUGGCUUGGGUUCAGGUUUUGGCAUCGGCUCGGGCUUGGGCUCUGGCUUUGGUUCGGGUUUUGGCAUCGGUUUAGGCUCAGGCUUCAUCGGCUCGGGUUUGGGCUCUGGCUUUGGUUCGGGUUUUGGCAUCGGCUCUGGUUUGGGCUCUGGCUUUGGUUCGGGUUUUGGCAUCGGCUCUGGUUUGGGCUCAGGCUUAGGUUCAGGUUUUGGCAUCGGCUCGGGCUUGGGCUCUGGCUUUGGUUCGGGUUUUGGCAUCGGCUCUGGUUUGGGCUCUGGCUUUGGUUCGGGUUUUGGCAUCGGCUCUGGUUUGGGCUCAGGCUUAGGCUCAGGUUUUGGCAUCGGCUCUGGCUUGGGCUCAGGCUUAGGCUCAGGUUUGGGCAUGGGGUAAGGCUUGGGCUCAGGCUUCGGUUCGGGUUUCGGCAUCGGCUCGGGCUUGGGCUCUGGCUUUGGUUCGGGUUUUGGCAUCGGCUCGGGCUUGGGCUCUGGCUUUGGUUCCGGUUUCGGCAUCGGUUUAGGCUCUGGCUUCAUCGGCUCGGGUUUGGGCUCAGGUUUCGGUUCUGGUUUAGGCAUGGGCUCAGGUUUCGGUUCUGGUUUAGGCAUAGGCUCAGGUUUGGGCUCAGGUUUCGGUUCUGGUUUAGGCAUCGGCUCGGGCUUGGGUUCUGGCUUUGGCAUCGGCUCCGGCUUGGGUUCCGGCUUGGGCUCUGGCUUUGGCAUGGGUUCAGGCUUAGGCAUAGGUUUGGGCUCCGGCUUUGGCAUGGGUUCAGGCUUAGGCAUAGGUGUGGGCUCCGGCUUCGGCAUGGGUUCAGGUUUAGGCAUAGGCUUGGGCUCCGGGUACGGCGUGGGCUUGGGCUCUGGCUCGGGGAGCUUCUCGGCGAGGCCCCGGCCAGCAGCGGCCGCGAGGCUGAAGCCGGAGGCCGCGAGCAGCCCGACGAGGAGCACGGCAAGGAGGCUGUGCCUCGCCAUUGCUGCUUUCUCGCAGCUGUUGCUGCACUUGUGCUUCACCGCUUCCGAACCUCUCAACGGGCGAUGGAUAGAUAAAGUGGAUGUGGUGUGUGGUUCCUCUGAAUGGUGGUGUGGAGAACCGGAGAUGGCAUAUGUCCCGGCUUUAUAGCGCUGAGCAGCCAAGCAGGCCCAGACGCGUGUGCCACACUCCCGGCGCCGGUGGGUCUGCUUGUGGAUCAGGUUACCCCAACCUUUUCAGUUUUCAUCUGCCGUCUGCCGUCUGCACCUUCCUUCCUUCCGACUGCAAAGCUAGCUAGGUAAGAUGCCCGAGGUACGGCUGGCGGUGGCCGGUGGCCCGUCGCCGUCGCGCCUUGAAACCCAUGUCGGAUCUUCAUUUCUCCGUUGCGCGUAGCAUCCGACGACGGCUGAUGGGUGCGGGUCAAGUCCGAGGACGACUGUUUCUAGCAGCUAGCAGCAGCAGCAGAUAGCCGGCAGCCGGUGGGGCACUGAAGGUUAAAACCCCAGCCUGACGGCAUCAUCAUCAACUCUUUUAUGCGCCGUACUGUUCACGUGGUUGAUUACAAAGAGAAGGUACGAAAAAGUAAGCACUAGUUGUGGUCGCCAGGCAGACACGAGCCCGUGCGUGUGCGUCCGUCCUGAACGCGUUUGCGCUGCCGGCUCGAUGGCCUGCUGCCGUUUCACUGUUCAUGCAUGUCCGGUCGAUCGAUCCGUCCGUCGGCGAUUCUGCGUACGGCGCGGUGUGCCAUCGACGGCAGCCGCGCCCACUGACCCGCUGUAUCUAUCGAGCCAUCGGCAUUGUUCACGGAUGGGAUCUGGCGAACGAUCGGCCUUGCUUUGCUUGGUGUGGUUUGCGGUGUUGAUUACUUGAUUGAUUGUCUUUUCUUUGUGGGAUACACUUCCGAUGCUUCUUAUCAUAAUCCAUCGCGGCAGUACAAAUAAAGCCAGAGAUAAUAAAAAUUACAACCAGGUCUAUUGAUCGCCUAACUACGAAUGCAAGCAAGGGAGCGAGCUGAGGGCAUGACGACGUCAUUGCCCCUCCAUCAUCCGGGCCGGGUAGAACUUUAUUGUAGUAGACAAAAGACAAUCAAAAAGUAUAGCACCGACCGAAUUUCAUGAGAUUCAGCGAAAAUACCUCCACAUGUCCUCCAACAAUGCUAGACGUAUCGUUGGUAUUAGGAUAAAACGUAAGAAAAUAUUUCUAUUGAACCACAUCACCGCCGUCACAAAGCCCCAACCAAGACACUUUUUUUUUGCGAGAAACCAACCAAGACACAUAACCUAACUGAGAGCAGGGUAGUUGAUUGAUUGACUGGUUGAAAGUCACGCACGCAGCCAGGUAGGCAGGCAGGCGAAAAUGGUUUUGUUGCACUUUUUCCUUGAUGAACAAGCGCUGUUACGUACGUGUUUUUCUUGCUGCAUUUUUCCAUGUUGUGGGGUUCGCUGCAUUGACCAACACUGCUGCUGAAAUGUGCUCCCUCCAUUCCUAAAUAUAAGUCUUUUAAACGAUUUCACUAAAGAUCUACAUACGGAACAAAAUGAUUGAAUCUAUACUCUAAAAUAUGUCUAUAUACAUCCGUAUGUAGUCCACUAGUGAAAUCUCUACAAAGACUUAUAUUUAGGAACGAAGGGAGUAACAUGGUACUCUAUUAAUCGAGUUUUAUUGAUUAAACAAUGAAGUAGUAAGAUUUUGCGCUCUGCUACUUAUUGGUGUGGAGCUCACACAAAUUGAGAACGCGCAAAAGUAAAGCUCAAGCUGUGGUGGUUAGGGACACCGUAAACCGGCCCGUUGCGUGCUUGAUUGAUCAUGUUGUUUGACUAUCCGUGCAUGCCCCGGUCGAUCUACCUGCAUACGGCCGGCAAGCCAGGCAGGGUGCGUGUGCCAUCGAUCGGAGGCAGUCGUACCGUAGCUAUCGAACCAUCGGCAACGUUGAAAUUGUUCGUGGAGAUGGAUCGACCGACCGACCGACAUUGCUUGCUCUUGUUGGCGGUAUUAAUUGCUUGACCGGUUAACUUAAUUGGCCACGCGCAGGCCAGCAGGUAGGCGGGGCAGGCAGGCGCAACAAAUCUUUGCGUUGAUAUUGGAAGCACAUUUCUCACGCUCACAAGUGUUGUGUGUCAGUGUCAAUCAGGCCAAGCACACGUACGUUUCUUGCUGCGUGUUCCUUUUUUGCGGGGUUGCUGCAUUGAUUAACAACAAUUGCGGCUCAAGUUGCGUAACAUCGCAACGGGGUUUUACCGAUUCAUAAUAUAACAAUAGCAAAUGAAGCAACCUUCGACACCCAAAAUUGAAUAAACGAGGCAACAACCUGCUACCUUACGUACCUAGAUCGUGUUGUUCACAAGCAAAUCAAAACUCUGUGCGUGUCUCCAUGCAAUGAUGGAAGGAUGAGCAACCGUAUUUUAGCUCUAUGUGGUCGGCCAACCUUUAGUAGAAGUCAUCAAAAGAUCGACCGAGUACGCACACGUCAGUGCAAUACGAGAACAAAGUAGAGAGAAAGCAUGGGCGGCCGGUAGAAAGUGACACACGCGUCGCGGCUUGCUGCCACCCGAUUCAACCGGCGGAUCUCACGAAGGUGCCGAUCGCGGGCAUCGAAUCGCUGCCUAGCUUUUGAGUUUUGACUGUAGGCGCGUACUACUAGGUACCAAGAUAAUCAAGGGCAUCGAUGCCCUGGGCUCCACACCAAUCGCCUCACUUCAAUUUCACAGCGGAAACCGUCCGAAGGUCUCCCUCCCCGAAAGGAACUGUGGGCGGAAAAGAUCUCUUAAAAGAUCUGCGUGAGUGCGAUCUGUGCUAGGAGAAGUUACCGUCCCAUCAUGUUUGUUGAAAAAUGUAAAAUGUCAUCUCGUUGUCAUUGUGUGGUGGUGUUCAGGUUGCAUUUUCAGAUAUGCGAUCUUUUUUAGCAUAUCUUCACCGGUUUGGGUGUCUCUAAAUUUAAACGUCUUCUCUCAUUAAACACAUAUCGUCGGAAUGCCUGAAAUAAAUCAAAAAAAUAAAAAUACAAGCGCUAGUCUAAGUCUAUGACUUGAACUCUGAUGAGCCGGUAACAUCAUUGUGCUUCUAACCAACCAACCACAAAUUGGUUUGUCGGUUUAGAAGUUUCUAACGUUAGGAAAUAGCUUAGGGGUUCCAUGACCAAUGAUUAGGGUAAAUUACGUGAUAUGUUUAUUUUACUUUAUUAGUCGUCUAGGUACCAUUAGUGAAAAAUGGGGCUUUAGUCCCUGUUUCAUAGGGCCUUUAGUCCCAGUUGUGCGGCUGGGAUUAAGCCCUCGGGACUAAAGGCCUCACCUUUUAGUUUCGUCGUGCUGCAAACUGGAAUUAAAGUAGUCCACGUGACUGCUGCACAACGCUCGAGCAGGAGGACUAUUAGUCCCGGUUGGUGUUCGUUGGUAACACCAACCGAGACUAAAGAGCUCCACGCGUUUUUAGGGGGUUGGAGGGGUAGGGUUUUGGAGGGGUUUAGCGGUUUUAUUUUAUGUUUUUUUCUUCUUUUUUUGUGUUAGAAUCAAAGCCCUGUUUUCUACUAGUGUUUGCGUGUCGGUCACCUCUUUGCCUCGACGCUAGCUACUAAUAGCAAUGAAGGAACCGUUACACAAUAUCGUCAUGAAUAUGAAGUGACCUCUCUGCCUCGACGCUAGCUACUAAUAUUCGACACUACUACAUAUAGUACACAUUCAUGCAUAUAUAUAAUAGAUAUCUCUCACGAUCUCUAAUAUCUAAUUACCAACAUUCCCUAUAACUUGCUCAUGGUAUUCUCCGAUUGGUGAUAUGACCUCAUCAACGAAGAAUCCCGCCAAUUCUUCUUGAAUUGCUCGUAUACGAUUCUCUGGUAUGAAUUCAUACCACUUCCGUUGUGUUGGAAAUAUGCCCUAGAGGCAAUAAUAAAUUGGUUAUUAUUAUAUUUCCUUAUUCAUGAUAAUCGUUUAUUAUCCAUGCUAGAAUUGUAUUGAUUGGGAACUCAAAUACAUGUGUGGAUACAUAGACAACACACUGUCCCUAGUGAGCCUCUAGUUGACUUGCUCGUUGAUCAAAGAUGAUCAAGGUUUCCUGGCCAUAGACAAGUGUUGUCACUUGGGAUCACAUCAUUAGGAAAAUGAUGUGAUGUACAAGACCCAAACUAUAAACGUAGCAUAUGAUCGUGUCAGUCUAUUGCUACUGUUUUCUGCAUGUCAAUGUAUCUGUUCCUAUGACCAUGAGAUCGUGCAACUCUCGGACAUCAGAGGAAUACCUUGUGUGUAUCAAAUGUCGCAACGUAACUGGGUGACUAUAAAGGUGCUCUACAGGUAUCUCCGAAGGUGUGUGUUGGGUUGGCAUGGAUCAAGACUGAGAUUUGUCACUCCGUGUGACAGAGAGGUAUCUCGGGGCCCACUCGAUAAUACAACAUCACUACAAGCCUUGCAAGCAAUGUGAUUAAGGAGUUAGUCACGGAGUCUUGUAUUAAGGAACGAGUAAAGAGACUUCCCGGUAACGAGAUUGAACUAGGUAUGGAGAUACCGUGAUCGAAUCUCGGGCAAGUAACAUAUCGAAGGACAAAGGGGACAGCAUACGAGUUUAACUGGAUCCUUGACAUAGAGGUUCAACCGAUAGAGAUCUUCGUAGAAUAUGUAGGAGCCAAUAUGGACAUCCAGGUCCCCUAUUGGUUAUUGAUCGGGGAGUGUCUCAGGUCAUGUCUGCAUAGUUCUUGAACCCACGGGGUCUGCACACUUAAGGUUCGGUAACGUUUCGGUAUAGUUGAGUUAUAGGUGUUGGUGACCGAAGGUUGUUUGGAGUCCCGGAUGAGAUCCUAGACGUCAUGAGGAGCUCCGGAAUGGUCCGGAGGUAAAUAUUGAUAUAUAAGAAGUCCUGUUUUUGGUCACCGAAAAGGUUUCGGGCUCAUCUUAGUGUACCAGGAGUGUCGGGAGGGUACCGGGGGGCCAUUGGGAGGGAUGUCUCGACCCAAGAGGCCUCAUGGGCUGUGGGAGGAGUCAAACCUAUUGGGGAACGUCGCAUGGGAAACAAAAAUUUUCCUACGCGCACGAAGACCUAUCAUGGUGAUGUCCAUCUACGAGAGGGGAUGAGUGAUCUACGUACCCUUGUAGACCGUACAGCAGAAGCAUUAGUGAACGCGGUUGAUGUAGUGGAACGUCCUCACGUCCCUCGAUCCGCCCCGCGAACAAUCCCGCGAUCAGUCCCACGAUCUAGUACCGAACGGACGGCACCUCCGCGUUCAGCACACGUACAACUCGACGAUGAUCUCGGCCUUCUUGAUCCAGCAAGAGAGAUGGAGAGGCAGAAGAGUUCUCCGGCAGCGUGACGGCGCUCCAGAGGUUGGUGAUGACCUUGUCUCAGCAGGGCUCCGCCCGAGCUCCGCAGAAACGCGAUCUAGAGGAAAAACGGUGGAGGUAUGUGGUCGGGCUGCCGUGGAAAAGUCGUCUCAAAUCAGCCCCAAUACCUCCGUAUAUAUAGGUGGGAGGGAGGGGACCUUGCCUUGGGGCUCAAGGAGCCCCAAGGGGGUCGGCCGAGUCCAAGGGGGGAAGGCUCCCCCCCCAAACCGAGUUGGACUUGGUUUGGUGGGUGGGAGUCCUUCCCUUCCUUCCCACCUCCCUUUUUUUUCUUUCUCUUUGAUUUUCCUUUGUAUGGCGCAUAGGGCCCUUUUGGGCUGUCCCACCAGCCCACUAAGGGCUGGUGCGCCACCCUUAUGGCCUAUGGGCUUCCCCGGGGUGGGUUGCCCCCCCCGGUGAACUCCCGGAACCCAUUCGUCAUUCCCGGUACAUUCCCGGUAACUCCGAAAACCUUCCGGUAAUCAAAUGAGGUCAUCCUAUAUAUCAAUCUUCGUUUCCGGACUAUUCCGGAAACCCUCGUGACAUCCGUGAUCUCAUCCGGGACUCCGAACAACAUUCGGUAACCAACCAUAUAACUCAAAUACGCAUAAAACAACGUCGAACCGUAAGUGUGCAGACCCUGCGGGUUCGAGAACUAUGUAGACAUGACCCGAGAGACUCCUCGAUCAAUAUCCAAUAGCGGGACCUGGAUGCCCAUAUUGGAUCCUACAUAUUCUACGAAGAUCUUAUCGUUUGAACCUCAGUGCCAAGGAUUCAUAUAAUCCCGUAUGUCAUUCCCUUUGUCCUUCGGUAUGUUACUUGCCCGAGAUUCGAUCGUCAGUAUCCGUAUACCUAUUUCAAUCUCGUUUACCGGCAAGUCUCUUUACUCGUUCCGUAAUACAAGAUCCCGCAACUUACACUAAGUUACAUUGCUUGCAAGGCUUGUGUGUGAUGUUGUAUUACCGAGUGGGCCCCGAGAUACCUCUCCGUCACACGGAGUGACAAAUCCCAGUCUUGAUCCAUACUAACUCAACUAACACCUUCGGAGAUACCUGUAGAGCAUCUUUAUAGUCACCCAGUUACGUUGCGACGUUUGAUACACACAAAGCAUUCCUCCGGUGUCAGUGAGUUAUAUGAUCUCAUGGUCAUAGGAAUAAAUACUUGACACGCAGAAAACAGUAGCAACAAAAUGACACGAUCAACAUGCUACGUCUAUUAGUUUGGGUCUAGUCCAUCACGUGAUUCUCCUAAUGACGUGAUCCAGUUAUCAAGCAACAACACCUUGUUCAUAAUCAGAAGACACUGACUAUCUUUGAUCAACUGGCUAGCCAACUAGAGGCUUGCUAGGGACGGUGUUUUGUCUAUGUAUCCACACAUGUAAAUGAGUCUUCAUUCAAUACAAUUAUAGCAUGGAUAAUAAACGAUUAUCUUGAUACAGGAAUUAUAAUAAUAACUAUAUUUAUUAUUGCCUCUAGGGCAUAAUUCCAACAAAACCAGCCCCUAGUGGGCUGGCCGAACCAACCACUAAGGCCCAUGGGGCUAGAGGUGGGAAAACCCAAAGGAAAGGAAGGGAAGGAGUCAAAGUAGGAAAGGAAUCCUACUUGGAGUAGGAUUGGAGGUGGACUCUUCCAGCUCCUCCUAUUUCGGCCGAACCCCUAGAGGGUUUUGUGGCUUCCUCCCUCCUAUAUAUACUAGAGGGUUUAGAGGGAAAAGCUAACCCUAAUUGUCACGUGCUCCCUCUACUUCUCUCUAGAUCUGUUCUUCCUCUAGAUCAGUUUUCGGCGAUGCUUAGGCGAAGCCCUGCUGGAUUAGUUCACCACCACCACCACCACGCCGCCGUGCUGGAGAACUCACCGACAUCUCCGCCCCUCUUGCUUGAUCAAGAAGGCGGGGAUCGUCAUCGAGNNNNNNNNNNNNNNNNNNNNNNNNNNNNNNNNNNNNNNNNNNNNNNNNNNNNNNNNNNNNNNNNNNNNNNNNNNNNNNNNNNNNNNNNNNNNNNNNNNNNAUCGGAGAUGAGCAUUCAGAGUGUAUCAAACUAACCGACUGGAUUCCACUUUGUGCAUCGUAACCCUCCUGGAGGGAAACGGUCAUACGUUUCCCUGUGCCUUUAUUAGCAUUUAAGACAUACGUUACCUGUAACAUAGGCAUUUAUUCGCAACUACUCCACCCCUGUGCACCGAACCGUUGUGAAGGGCAACACACUCUAUAUAAGCCGCCCUUCCCCACUGGUGCAAGGGUUAGCAAUUCACUGUAAUCCAUAUUCCACUCGACAACAAGCUNNNNNNNNNNUGUUACCUGUAACGUAGGCAUUUAUUCACCACUACUCCACCCCUGUGCACCGAACCGUUGUGAAGGGCAGCGCACUCUAUAUAAGCCGCCCUUCCCCACUGGUACAAGGGUUAGCAAUUCACUGUAAUCCAUAUUCCACUCGACAACAAGCUCUCAAGAGCACUGAGACAUAGGGCUAUUACCUCCACCGUAGAGGGGCCUGAACUCAUACAACCUCGUCGUAGCUAAGACUCUACCCAUCCUUUCGUACCCUACACAUCUACUGUCAGGCUUAUACCCACGAGAACGUCCAAAACAAGUAGACCGAUACUUUCUGCAUCUACUACUAUUACUCCACACGUCGACCGCUAUCCAGCAUGCAUCUAGUGUAUUAAGUCCAAAAGAACAGAGUAACAACUUAAGCAAGAUGACAUGAUGUAGAUGGACAAUCUCAUAUCUACGACAAAGCCCACCUUGUUACCCUUGAUGGAAACUACACGAUGUGUGCCUUGUUGCCCCUACUAUCACUGGAAAGGUCACCACACGGUAAGAACCCAAAGCCAAGCACUUCUCCCAUUGCAAGAAUCAUAGAUCUAGUUGGCCAAACAAAACCCAAGACUCGGAGAUACUUACAAGGAUAUCAAAUCAUGCAUAAAAGAAAUCAGCAAAGACUCAAAUAUAUAUCAAAGAUAAUCUGAUCACGAAUCCACAAUUCAUCGGAUCUCGACAAACACACCGCCAAAGAGGAUUACAUCGGAUAGAUAUCCAUNNNNNNNNNNNNNNNNNNNNNNNNNNNNNNNNNNNNNNNNNNNNNNNNNNNNNNNNNNNNNNNNNNNNNNNNNNNNNNNNNNNNNNNNNNNNNNNNNNNNUUUAUACUAACGUUUGUGCUUGCAGAUGCGUUUACUAUUUUGCUAGGAUGUAGCUUUAGUAGUAAUAGCAUGAGUAGCACGACAACCCCGAUGGCAACACGUUGAUGGAGAUCAUGGCGUGGCGCCGGUGACAAGAAGAUCGUGCCGGUGCUUUGGUGAUGGAGAUCAAGAAGCACGUGAUGAUGGCCAUAUCAUGUCACUUAUGAAUUGCAUGUGAUGUUAAUCCUUUAAUGCACCUCAUUUUGCUUAGAACGACGGUAGCAUUAUGAGGUGAUCUCUCACUAAAAUUUCAAGACGAAGUUGUGUUCUCCCCGAUUGUGCACCAUUGCUACAGUUCGUCGUUUCGAGACACCACGUGAUGAUCGGGUGUGAUNNNNNNNNNNAUUGUGUUCUCCCCGACUGUGCACCGUUGCUACAGUUCGUCGUUUCGAGACACCACGUGAUGAUCGGGUGUGAUAGACUCAACGUUCACAUACAACGGGUGCAAAACAGCUGCGCACGUGGAACACUCGGGUUAAGCUUGACGAGCCUAGCAUGUGCAGACAUGGCCUCGGAACACAUGAGACCGAAAGGUCGAUCAUGAAUCAUAUAGAUGAUAUGAUUAGCAUAGGGAUGCUUACCACUGAAACUAUACUCAACUCACGUGAUGAUCGGACUUGAGCUAGUGUAAGUGGAUCAUGAACCACUCAAAUGACUAGAGAGAUGUACUUUUUGAGUGGGAGUUUAGCNNNNNNNNNNNNNNNNNNNNNNNNNNNNNNNNNNNNNNNNNNNNNNNNNNNNNNNNNNNNNNNNNNNNNNNNNNNNNNNNNNNNNNNNNNNNNNNNNNNNAUCUCGGAGGGGCUCUCGCCCCUCCGCCGCCAUGGAAACCAUGGACCAGAGGGGAAACCCUUCUCCCAUCUAGGGAGGAGGUCAAGGAAGAAGAAGAAGGAGGAGGGGGGCUCUCUCCCCCUCUCUCCCGGCGGCUCCGGAACGCCGCCCGGGACAUCAUCGUGUGACGGCGAUCUACACCAGCACCUCCGUCAUCUUCACCAACAUCUCCAUCAUCUUCCCCCAUCUAUAUUCAGCGGUUCACUCUCCCGCAACCCGUUGUACCCUCUACUUGAACAUGGUGCUUUAUGCUACAUGUUAUUAUCCAAUGAUGUGUUGCUAUCCUAUGAUGUAUGAGUAGAUUAUCGUUGUCCUAUCGGUGAUUGAUGAAUUGCUAUGAUUGGUUUAAUUUGCUUGUGGUUAUGUUGUUUUCCUUUGGUGCCCAUCAUAUGAUCGCGCGUGUGGAUCACACCAUAGGGUUAUUUGUAUGUUGAUAGGACUAUGUAUUGGCAGGCUAGAGUGACAUAAGCUUCAAACCUAGCAUAGAAAUUGAUGCAUAUGGGAUUGAAGGGGGACCAAUAUACCUUAUUGCUAUGGUUGGGCUUUACCUUAAUGAACGUUAGUAGUUGCGGACGCUUGCUAAUAGUUCCAAUCAUAAGUGCAUAGAAUUCCAAGUAAGGGAUGACAUGCUAGGAGAGGCCUCUCCCACAUGAUACUUGCUAUCGAUCUAGUAACGUAGUCAAUUGCUUAGGGCCAAUUCCGCAACUCCUACCACCACUUUUCCACAAUCGUUAGACACCCGUAGUUGUUUCUUUAUCUAACCAGCCCCUAGUUUUAUUUACGUGUUCUUUACUUUCUUGCAAGCCUAUCCUAUCACUCCUGCAAAGUACUUCUAGUUUCAUACUUGUUCUAGGUAAAGCGAACGUAAAGUGUGCGUAGAGUUGUAUCGGUGGUCGAUAGAACUUGAGGGAAUAUUUGUCCUACCUUUAGCUCUUCGUUGGGUUCGACACUCUUACUUNNNNNNNNNNNNNNNNNNNNNNNNNNNNNNNNNNNNNNNNNNNNNNNNNNNNNNNNNNNNNNNNNNNNNNNNNNNNNNNNNNNNNNNNNNNNNNNNNNNNGUGUACAUGUGGGGGAUGAGCACAAACAUCGGGAAUUUGACCUACGAGCGUUGUUGUUUGUAACCAUCAAUGACUGGCCUGCUCUUAGUAACCUUUCACGACAAACAAACAAGGGAUACAAUGCAUGCAUGCGCUGUUUAUAUGAGACUGAAAGUAUAUAUUUUGACAAAUGUAAGAAGAAUGUGUACCAGGGACAUCGUCGAUUUCUUCUGAGCAGGCAUCCCUUAAGAAAGAAAGGCAAGCAUUUCAAAGGUGAGGCAGGUCAACGGAAGAAUCUUGUCCUCCAUACAGGUGAUGCUAUAUUUGAUAUGGUCAAGAAUUUAAAAGCUAUAUUUGGAAAGGGUCCUGGCUGACAAUUUGUUCCGAAUGACGCUGACGGGUAUGCACCCAUGUGAAAGAAGAAAUCUAUAUGUUGGGACCUACCUUAUUGGAUAUACCUAAAGGUCCGCUAUGCAAUCAACAUGAUGCAUGCGAAGAAGAAUAUUUGUGUGAACUUGCUAGACUUCUUGGGCAUGUAUGGGAAGACAAAAGAUACACUUGAGGCAUGGGAGGACCGGCAACGUAUGAACAAAAAAGAUGGCAUGCAUCCAAAGCAGUAUCAAGGUCCUACCAGCUACGUUCUUACCAAAGCAAAUAAGGUAAUAUUUUUUGAAUGCCUGCUCGGUAUCAAGGCCCCGUCUGGCUUCUCAUCGAAUAUAAAGGGAAUAAUAAAUAUGGCAGAGAUCUAGAAAUCCUACCAAGUUUACAGAAUGAUUUGGUCCAAUGUCUUCUCAGUUUCGAGUUGGUGUUCCCACCAUCAUUCUUCAAUAUUAUGACGCACGCCCUAGUUCACCUAGUCUAUGAGAUGGCCAUUCUCAGUCUUGUAUAUCUACACAAUAUGUUCCCCUUUGAGAGAUUCAUGGGAUUCUUAAAGAAAUAUGUCUGUAACCGUGCUAGGCCAAAAGGAAGCAUCUCCAAGGGCCAUGAAACAGAGGAGGUCAUUGAGUUUUUUGUGUUGACUUUAUUCUUGACAUUAAGCCGACUGGUGUUCCUCAACUGAGGCAUGAGGGGAGACUGAGUGGAAAAGGCACGCUAGGACCAAACUCAAUAAUAUGUAGGGACGGGCAUUCUUGGGCGCAAGCACAUUACAUAGUUCUACAAAAUUCUACCUUGGUGGGCCCGUAUGUCAAUGAACACAAGAAUAUUCUACGCUCUAAAUACCCAGAGCAGUGUGACGACUGUAUUACACGUGAACACAUGGGGACUUUUGGCGGUUGGCUGCAAACACAUCUCAGGAGUAACGACAUUGUUGGAGAUGACCUGUACUUGUUGGCUAGGACACCAUCUUCGACUGUAUUGACUUUCCAAGGGUACGAGCUAAAUGGGAAUACAUUUUACACAAUCGCCCAAGAUAAAAAGAGCACCAACCAAAACAGUGGUGUCCGCUUUGAUACAGCAAACAUCAAUAGGGAAAAGGACACAUAUUAUGGUUACACAUAGGAGAUAUGGUACCUUGACUAUGGGCAUAAUGAUUUGAAGGUCCCUUUGUUAUGGUGCAAAUGGGUCAAUCUGACAGGAGGAGGGUACAGGUAGACCCGCAAUACAGAAUGACAAUGGUGGAUAUCAACAAUCUUGGGUACACAGACAAACCAUUCGUCCUAGCCAAUGAUGUGGCACAGGUUUUCUAUAUGAAGGACAUGUCUGCCAAACCGAGAAAAAGAAAAGAUAAGGAAGCGAAUGCAUCAUACGAUGAGCCAAAGCGCCACAUAGUUCUUUCGGGGAAAAGAAACAUCGUGGGAGUGAAGGACAAGACAAACAUGUCAAAAGAUUAUGAAAAGUUUCAUGAAAUUCCUCCCUUCACAGUGAAUACUGGCCCAAGCAUCCUGUUAAAUGAUGAAGAUUAUCCAUUGUUACGAUGCAAUAAGCAAGGUACAAACCAAAGGGAAUCUUAGCUAGGGCAUUUUGGCUCGAAAGAGAUUGUCCAGUUUGUACACGAAGUGCAUCUAACUUUUGCCAUGAUCCUCUAAACUUUUUAGCACGUGCUAUGUGGGUUAAAUGAUGAUACCCUGCUAAAUUUCAACCUUUUCAGAGUUCUUUUGUAGUGCUUUUCAGUUUCAUGGUCAUUUAGCUCAAAACAAAUUCAUGAAAUGCAUGAAAAAUAGCAAAUGAAGUCAGAAAGCGUUGAAAAUUGAUGACGUGGCUUUGAAUGGUGUAUAUUGAACGCGGAAAAAGUAUGGAGGUUAAAUAAGCUUAAAAAUGAAAUGCCUUUGUAACAGAUGGGUUUUUGUCCGAAACCCACAUAUUUCGAAAGAGGUUGUCCAAUUUGUACACAAAGUCCAUCCAGUUUUUGUCGUAACCGUCUCAACUUUUUAGCACAUGCUAUAUGGUAAAAUGAUGAUACCAUGCCAAAUUUCAACCUUUUCAGAGUUCAUUUGUAGUGAUUUUCAAUUUCAGGGUCAUUUAGCUCAAAAAAAUCAUUAAAUGCAUGAAAAAUAGAAAAUGAAGUCAGAAAGGGUUGAAAACUUAUGACGUGGCUUCGAAUGGUGCAUAUUGAACGCAUAAAAAGUCUGGAGUCGAAAUAAGCUUAAAAAUGAAAUGCCUUUUUAACACAUGAGUUUUCGUCCCAAAGACUCAUACUUCUAAAGAGAUUGUUCAGUUUGUACAUGAAGUGCAUCCAGUUUUUCCGUAACCCUCUCAAAUUUUUACCACAUGUUAUAUGGGUGAAAUGAUGAUACCAUGCCAAAUUUCAACCUUUUCAUAGUUCAUUUGUAGUGCUUUCCAAUUUCAGGGUCAUUUAGAUAAAAAAAUCAUUAAAUGCAUAAAAAAAUAACAAAUGAAGUUAGAAAGGGUUGAAAAUUGAUGACAUGGCUUUGAAUGGUGCAUAUUGAAUGCAUAAAAAGUUUGGAGUUGAAAUAAGCUUAAAAAUGAAAUGCCUUUGUAACAGAUGAGUUUUCAUUCGAAACCCUCAUACUCCAAAAGAGAUUAUCUAGUUUGUACACGAAGUGCAUCCAGUUUUUGACGUAACCCUCUCAACUUUUUACCACAUGCUAUGUGGGUGAAAUGAUGAUACCAUGCCAAAUUUUAACCUUUUUGAGAGUUCAUUUGUAGUGUUUUCCAAUUUCAGGGUUAUCUAGAUAAAAAAUCAUUAAAUGCAUGAAAAAUAGCAAAUGAAGUUAGAAAGGGUUGAAAAUUGAUGACAUGGCUUUGAAUGGUGCAUAUUGAAUGCACAAAAAGUCUGGAGUUGAAAUAAGCUUAAAAAAUGAAAUGUCUUUGUAACAAAUGAUUUUUCGUUCGAAACCCUCAUACUCUGAAAGAGAUUGUCCAGUUUGUACACGAAGUGCGCCUAGUUUUUGCCAUAACCCUCUCAACUUUUUAGCACAUGCUAUGUGGGUGAAAUUAUGAUACCAUGCCAAAUUCCAGUCUUUUCAGAGUUCAUUUGUAGUGCUUUUUGAAUUAAUAUGUGGGUGAAAUGAUGAUUCCGAAAGAAAGAUCUUGAUAGCACUGAUCCCCUUGUGUCAUAUUUUCAAAAACAUAUUGACAAACCACCACCUGAUGCUGGCCCAUCAAUGCAAAAUGUUGUGGUAAUGGUACCUAGUUUAACAAAAAUUAUUUUAUAAUAUUCUUCAAUGGCUAAAAAGAAUCAACUAGAAAGCUUUUAUAAAACUCUAGUUAUGAUCAAAAUAAUAUUAACUUAAAGUUAUAUAAAAUUCAUCCAAUUAAAUUUUUAUAAAGUAUUUUUUUCUUAAAAACUUUAAUAGAAAACAUAAUUAAACGAAAACUAGGCAUGUAUGCAUUUCUUUAAAAGAAAAUUAAAACUAAAAUAUCCUAAAAAGGUCUAAAACAAAAAAUAGGAAAAAUAUAUUUAGUCCCGGUUGGUGGCCUCGACCCGGAGUAAAGGCCACCCUUUAGUAUCUGUCGGAGCCACCAACCGGGACUAAAGCCAUGGGGUUCACACCCUUUGGGCUGGUGAAAUUCACCUUUAGUCCGAGUUGGUGGCUCCGACUUGGACUAAAGGGGGCCUUUAGUCCCGGUCGGACUCACCAACCGGGACUAAUGUCUCGGGUAUAUAACCUCCCGCGGCCCUCCCCACCAAUCUUCUUCUCCACUCCCCACGACACCGAACCCACGCACAACGCCACCAGGCUGCGGGAGGACAUCGCCGUCGUCUCCACUCCUCCCCCGAACUCGACGCCGUCGUCGCUCCUCUCAUCUCCGACCCUGACGUUGUCGUCGCCGCUCCUCUCGUCUUCGACCCCGAUCGACGACGCCGUCGGCGCUCCUUCCCCGACCCGACCACUCUCCAUCGACCCCGACGCCAUCGGCCGACCACCUCCGUCGACUCCGCUGCCUCCUUCCACGAUGAGCCUAGCCCCCCUUGUCUAUUGAUCGUCGUUCCCGCGGAUGCCCGAGCGCGACGGUUCCUCCCACGAUGUAAACCGGCCAAAUUUAUUUGGAAAAAAUGUUCAUGAUGUCAUUUCCACUCUAGAUAUCAGCUUAUUGUUUACUUGAUUGAUUGAUUGUGGUGGCAAAAUAGUCGGUGAUGAAGUAUGAGUCCAUGUAUUUUGACAUGUUUGAAUGAUGUUAUUGAAAUUAUGGUAUCCAAAUAUAGUGUCAAAAUGAUCGUGAUGAAGUAUGAGUCCAUGUAUCUAAUAACAUGUUGGAUUAUUACACCAUAUUUGAUAUUUUAUGAUAAUGUUGGCUAUUAAUAUAGCAAAUAAAUUUGCUGGUCAUUUUGUGAUUCGAAGUUUCUUGAGUCAGAAAAGAAGUUUUUAUUAGAGAUUUAAUUUAGUCAGGGAAGCAAUUGCAACAUCAAUCAUCACCAAAAAAUAUUUGACUCUAAAUUAUUCCAGCUCACUUGCUUGUGUUUCUUCAUUCUGGUUAUCUUCGUCAUUCUCACUAAUUUCAUCAAAUUGUUGCAAAGCCUUCAUUCUGUACUUCUCAAAAUAUGAGAUGGCACCUUCAAUCUGUUUAAGAGUAACAUCAAUGUGGAGUUGUUGUUAGGGACCGCAUCCCGAUCUCCAUUCAAGAACGGAAUAAUCCAAAGGUGGACGAUGUUACUUAUAUCGAUGAUAGAUCCAAAUAAAUGCUCUGGAAUAGCCUCAUGACAAAUUUCACCCUACCGCAAGAGGUGGAUCCAAAUAACCCAGUUAUACAGCGAAAAGUCAAGUCGUGGGCUCUUAAGAAGAUGGCCCAAUAAUUCUGCAACUAGAAGAAACGAUUGAACCAAGACUAUGUCUAGAAAGGAAAGAGUCCAGCAUUCACCGGAGCACUUGAGAAGUUAAAAGAUCACUAGGAUGUAUUUGUGGAGUUCAAGAAAUCAGAUGAAGCUAAGAAAAGGUCAAAAAGAAAUAAGAGAAAUGCUACGAAGAAAGACUAUCACCAUGUUAUGGGGUGAGGUGGCUACAUGGUUGCCAGGCCUAAGUGGGAGAACACGGAAGACGAGCUGAUUGCUAAAGGGGUCGAACCAGAGCCAUUUAACUGGAUCGAAUGGGCAAGGACUUGGUUCCACGGUCAUGGGGGAAAGUUGAACCCAGAAACAGGGAAGUGUAUUUAUACAAAAAAAAGCAACUUGCAAGACCCCUAGAAGCCCUUCGAGCUGAAAUAAAGGACGUGCAUGACGGGAAGUUCGUUCCCUAUAGAGAGAAUGACGAGCUGACACGUGCCCUCGGGAAUUCUGAACCCAGUGGACGAACAUGAGGCACACGAGGCUCCGUUCCGUGGAAGGUUGGGUUUCCCGGUGUCAGUGACAACUAUAGAAGCCGAGCGAGAAAGAAGAAACAUGAAGAAUAUCGGAAUAAAUAGGAAGCAGACUGGAUGCAGAAGGUAGAAUAAAAAUUAAAGGUCCACCAACAGAUAAGAAAAUAGGCUUACCAGAGAGCGAGCUACCACAGACCCAUCUGAUCCUGCAUUCGAUACUGCUGCUGGCCCAUCACCAUCUCAGAGGAAAAGCAGUGUGGCUUCCACGGAGUUCGUUCGGCCCACAGAUGAUAUCUCGGCUCCUCGCUCCCGCGUGGAUGAUAUCAUGAAGAGGUAAAAUUGUGAGCUACAUGCGAAAUGAUGGAACUUACCAUUGAAGGUGGAAGUCGUCUAUGUCUUACCUCCUAGUCCUGAUGCAACUUACCAUUGCUCUUUGGUUCCAAAUGGCUAUGUUUUUGUCGGGGUGGAUGAAGUUACCAGCGGAUUUGAGCAGCUAGAGCUUGAGCACCCUACACUUGAAGGCGAGACUCAUGUGGUAGAUGCCUUGAGGACUACCAUUGUAUGGAGAAAGGAACACAUCUUGCUUCCACAUUGGACGCCAUGUCAGCAGAUCACUUCGCCGGACUCGGCCCCUCAACAGACUCCUCAUAGUAGCUAUCCAGCUCAGCGUCAGCACACUCCGUCGCCUCAGCUGUCUCCGUCGCGUCAGCUAACUCUGUUACGUCAGCUGACUCCGCCUCCUCAGUUGUCUCCGAUGCGUGAGCUGACUCCGUCGCAUCAGCAGACUACACCUCCUCCACCGCCUCAACGAACUACACCUCCUCCGCCGCCUCAGCCCCACGCGUGGAAGAGAAUCGUCGCUCCGGCGGCUAGUAGUACAACUGUGAAGAAACCCAGAGCAGAUACACACGUCAAGAAGGCUCUUGCCAAGUUACCAUACGAGCUGACUGAUGAGGACACCAAUAAGGUCGUGCAGGAGCAAGUGAGAAGCCAUUUUGCACCGAAACCGCACGAGAAACCUGAGAAAAUAGAUAUGAAAAAAGUGAAGUGCACUCUAAAAAACCUUACGCGACCACUGCCUCCUCCGCCCCUAAUAGACUAUGAACACUCGAUUGUUAAGUCACAUAUAGAAGAGAGGCGGUCUGGGAGUAGUAGAUCAGGUGGGAAAAUGAUUCCCUAGCUCGAAGAACAAAAAUACCAAUUUGUACCCUUAUGCUUACCGGUGCCGAUUAUGGUGCGGAGGCAGCGGGCCAUGGUAUUGGUUUCACUCUUGGUAAAUACUUAGGCGAGCAGGAAGAGUUCCCCCCUCCUGAGAUAGUAUACACAUACCAGUAUGGGAAGCCUCUCGUCGAACCUAAGAAUGUCCCGCUUCUACCAACACGAAUGUGAAACUUGCAUGAGUGGUACAUGAAAGCCUGCAAGGAUGGGACCAACUAUCUCAUUGCGGGGGUUAAAGAUGAGCAUUUCUUCAAUGGAGACAAGCUGAUUUACAUUGAAUUUGAGGAAUUUUUUCAGUUAUUCAAUUAAGACGUCGUCAACAAAGCUAUCAUCAGUUGCUAUUGUCUAUAAGUAUCAUUUUUGUAAUUAAGUCUCCAUCUUAGCUCGUUCAUUGCAUGUAUAAUUAUCCUCACUACAUAUAUUAUGCGGAAUGAAGAUCCUCCGAUGCAAAAGAGGAGGAAUCUAUGACAUUGGGUUCAUUAACCCAAAUAUUGUUCAUGGAGUGACCAUAAAAAAUAACGCCGAGGAUAUAGAGAAGAUCUUGCUAAGGGCGUUAAUUGAACAAGAAACCAAAAGGGAAAUAAUUUUUCCUUACAACUUCAAGUGAGUGUUAUACUGUCUUGAACACAUUCUGUUUUCAACAAUUACUCGAUGUUAAGUGUAAUUGAUGAGUUAUGCAUGCACAAGUUCCACUUUAU